rnacentral:rRNA from 1 species
AUUGAACGCUGGCGGCAUGCUUUACACAUGCAAGUCGAACGGUAACAGGCCGCAAGGUGCUGACGAGUGGCGAACGGGUGAGUAAUGCAUCGGAACGUGCCCAGUCGUGGGGGAUAACGCAGCGAAAGCUGUGCUAAUACCGCAUACGAUCUAUGGAUGAAAGCGGGGGACCGUAAGGCCUCGCGCGAUUGGAGCGGCCGAUGUCAGAUUAGGUAGUUGGUGGGGUAAAGGCCUACCAAGCCGACGAUCUGUAGCUGGUCUGAGAGGACGACCAGCCACACUGGGACUGAGACACGGCCCAGACUCCUACGGGAGGCAGCAGUGGGGAAUUUUGGACAAUGGGCGCAAGCCUGAUCCAGCAAUGCCGCGUGCAGGAAGAAGGCCUUCGGGUUGUAAACUGCUUUUGUACGGAACGAAACGGUCUGGGUUAAUACCCUGGGCUAAUGACGGUACCGUAAGAAUAAGCACCGGCUAACUACGUGCCAGCCGCCGCAGUAAAAC